rnacentral:lncRNA from 1 species
CAGAUUUUCAGUUGAAGAAAAUAGUACACAUUCAGCUUACUUUUUAAAAAAGUUAACAUAUAAGUUAAUUAUUUAUUUUAUAAUAAUUUAAAAAUUAUCAAACCAUUGCUUCUCGGCGAAGAAAGGAGCAAGCUUAGAGCCUUAGUAUCAUUAUUAAUGGGCAUUCUUGUUGUUUGUCAGCUGCUGUUACUGAAGGUUUUUGCUACUUGCAGCUGAAUACAUUUCUAACUGUUAUACAUUGAAUCUUAAUUCAAACUAUGGAUUCUGGAUACAUUGGCUGGAGGUGGCAAAAAUCCAAUCUCUGCCUCCACGGC